rnacentral:piRNA from 1 species
UGAGCGAAGACCCCCUGCUACAGGAA